GACGAACGCUGGCGGCGUGCUUAACACAUGCAAGUCGAACGGUGAAGCGCUUGCCUUUUUGGUGGGUGUGGAUGAGUGGCGAACGGGAGAGUAACACGUGAGUAACCUGCCCUCUUCUUCUGGAUAACCACAUGAAAGUGGGGCUAAUACGGGGUAUUCCGGGACUGUCGCAUGGCGUGUUUGCGCAAGAUUGCGCCUUUGGGUGUUUUCGGUGGGGGAUGGGCUCGCGGCCAAUCAGCUUGUUGGGGGGGUGAUGGCCUAGCAAGGCGGUGCCGGGUAGCCGGCGUGAGAGGGUGGACGGCCACAGUGGGACUGAGACACGGCCCAGACUCCUGCGGGAGGCAGCAGUGGGGAAUAUUGCACAGUGGGAGCAAGCCUGAUGCAGCGAGGCCGCGUGAGGGAUGGAGGCCUGCGGGUUGGGAACCUCUUUCGCAAGGGAGGCAGGCCUGCUCCUGUGUGGGUGGGUUGACGGUAGCUGGAUAAGAAGCGCCGGCUAACUACGUG
rnacentral:rRNA from 1 species